AGUGAGACUGACUGCGUCGGGGUUGAGACUGGGUGGAUGAGGCUCACCCCGGCGGGGAGAAGGGACGAGGAGGGGCGGACAGCGGAAGGUCCGGGAGUGUCCGCCAUAAAGUCGUUUGAGGUGACCGUUGCGUAAUUGUGAGUCUGUGAGAGAAGAUGUGAAGUAUGGCCUCGUCCCGGUCAUCUGGGCGUGCGGGUCCCGGGUUUUGAUCGCGCGUUUGUCUGAGUCAUUGAAAGCAGCCAGCUACAAACAGACACAUUCCAGGCAGUGGAGAAAGAGGAGAAAAAUGCCCCCUAACUUCUCAUCAGAAAAACAAAGGCCUAAUGAAAAUGGAAAGUUGUCUUUAAAGUGCUGAAGGGGGAAAAAAAACCUUCAUGCUAAAUAUGCUUCACGUAUGAGGAUGAACUCAAGUUUUAACUUCUAGUCAUGGCGAAUGAUCGCAGGAGAGCACAGACUGGACCCUGCUACGAUCUCUCUUGGAGUGGAUCAGACUGAUGAUCACCAACAACCAACUCAUUCCCGGAUAAGGAAGAAGAGAGUGUCACCUACUUCAGUGUGGUUUCAACCC
rnacentral:lncRNA from 10 species